rnacentral:tRNA from 1 species
GGGCAGGUGGCAGAUUGGAUAAUGCUCGCGGCUGUAAACCGCGCGACCUUUCGGUCUUAGUAGGUUCGAUUCCUACCCUGCCCA